rnacentral:ncRNA from 1 species
GACCGCUCUUCACCACUUGGGGCUGUAGUAUGUUCCAAGGGUUGGGCUGUUCGCCCAUUAAAGCGGUACGUGAGCUGGGUUCAGAACGUCAUGAGACAGUUC